rnacentral:rRNA from 1 species
UACGUAGGUGGCAAGCGUUAUCCGGAUUUAUUGGGCGUAAAGGGAACGCAGGCGGCCUUUUAAGUCUGAUGUGAAAGCCUUCGGCUUAACCGGAGUAGUGCAUUGGAAACUGGGAGACUUGAGUGCAGAAGAGGAGAGUGGAACUCCAUGUGUAGCGGUGUAAUGCGUAGAUAUAUGGAAGAACACCAGUGGCGAAAGCGGCUCUCUGGUCUGUAACUGACGCUGAGGUUCGAAAGCGUGGGUAGCAAACAGG